CCAGAACACCCGCUUACUGAGACAUCAAGACUGAGACUGCUACAAAAGCGUGAGGUUAAUUGUUCCAGUGCGCACUGGGGUCGUCUGUACUCAAGACAGGAGAGACUCCCAGCAAAAUCACACAUCUUUUAUAGGCAUUUUGAGGCAGAUUCGAGCAACAGGCAGAGUUGGUUAUUGUUCAUUGGUGGCCCAUCAAGAUUGGAAUGCACCAUAUUCGGCUAUCUUUUGGUAAUCAAUUGGGGAAGGUGGGGCAUUCCUCCCCAUGCUCUCUCGCAGUUAGGGUAUAUCCAUGUAUAGUGAGCAGGGGAUUGUUUCUGAGAAGUCCCCAACCACCCUGCAUGCACCUGGUGUUUUUCACCCUGCUAAACAUGGUCUGGAGUCUCACACAGGAACAGAAGACUGCGCCAUGAUCAGGUGCAGGACCCUGCAAGUUUCUGAACAGACCCAUUCAUGCUUCCAUGAGAGUGUGGCACUGCCUGUAGGAACCACUGCUGCCUAUAACUUCCUCCAUCCCACAGUGGGGGAUAGAGUCUUACAUGGGCCCAGCCCCUGACCAGGAUCCUAGGUGUUGGGCCCUUCCCCCAUAGGGGUCUGUUGACCAGCUUGUGACUAGGAGCUUACCUACCAAGUACAUUUUGUUUUCUUCCUUCCUUGAAGUCCUGAGUGCAAGUUCCUGUUAUCCUGUUAUUUGCCCAUCCAGGAUUGCCUGAUGGACCUGGGUAGUUUUCCACCAUGCCUGCUGACCGGUAUAUAAGAACCCACUCUUGUUGGAAUAAAUGGCAUUCUCCCUGCAAGAAAGACCUGCUGUCUUGUCUUUAUUUAAAUCCUCAAGCCCCUCGCUCAAAUCAGUAGAAGUGUUGUAGCACAGGGGCUACAAGUGGAGGUCCCACCAAGAUAGGGAAGAAAGGAAGACGCUGAAGGAUCACCCGUGAAGGCUGGCCAGUGUUUUCAUUAAGUCCCUCGUGUCUUGAGAAGAGACGAGAGCUCUGGUCUCGGGAGGAGACAGAGUGUGAUCAGCAGACAUGCUAGGAGAUCACCGACUGCCACCCUGGAAGAAGUUCCAGGAAGUCUGGGGGAACCUCAGGGAUGCUUGAGAGAUUCCUGUCUGGGAGCCGGUGAGGGGUUUCUGUGAAGCCUGGAGGGUUGGAACUAGUGGUAUGACUGACUGGGCAGUUGAGAAGGUUUGUUAUCUGUGUUAUCUGAUCUGUUGCAAUCCACACCCUGCCUGCCUGCUUAUCGGUGCUGUUUCUGUUUUGUGUUUUCAGAUCUGCUGUUUCUGUUAAUUUUGUAAAUGUAAAAGUCCUAUGUUGGGGUCACUGGCAGCAUCUCUAGGUAGGCCUACAAGAAUUGUUUAGGGUGGAGGUUCGGGCGACAGCUUCCGAAAUCUAUAGGAGGGGUACUUGGUGGGACCAAGUUGCCUGCUCCAUCUGUAAGGGGGCCAGGGGGCCCCAAAUUGCCCAAUCUGUAGGAUGGGCACUUGCUGGGAGCAAGUUGCCUUCUCCAUCUGUAAGGGGACCCAGGCGGGUCACCAAUCUGUAAGGGAGACUUGGUUUUGGACCAAGUUGAUCUCCAUGGGGCUAGCCAUCUAAAAUUCUGAAUAGGACCCUAGUCUGUGUUACUGUGCUGUCUGUCCAAGUUUCACAUUUGUGCUGUGUGCUUGUUAAGCAUCUCUUUCUGUCCCUACUGCCCACACAUGUGGCAUGCGUUGAGUCAGGAGUCUUUUCUUGCCCUGAGCACGUGCUGUGCAGGAUAGGAGUUCCUCUGCCAUGUGUCAUGUGUUAGAGUGUGCUGCGGCAGAGUCCCCUGAGGCUGCUGCUCUGAACUCCAACCACUGCUGCGGCCCUCACAGCUGAGCCUGGCUGGUGCUGGUGAGUCUGUCAUUCCAUCCUCACCUGCCGGUCUGUGAAACAUGUGAAGUGGGGCUCUCUCUGCCCCAACUGCCAUCUUGCUGUGAGUCCUGACUUACGGCGGGAGUUUCCCUGCCCUGAGCACAUGGCUUGCAAGGCCACUGUUUGCCUGGCUGCCUGGCCUUCUCUUUGCUCUAGACAUGUGAUAUGCAGGGAAACUUUGGGGGUCUUUUUCCCACCCCUGCAUUGGCAGAGGGUCUGGGAUUACCAGCAGCACCCCCUCCCCAGGUCUCUGACCUGAGCACAUGGAUCUGGGGCGGGUGAACCAUCUGGCCUGUUCUAGACAUGUAAAGAAAUGGCCUUAAAGUUAUUAAAAACUAUGAAAGGGACUUUGAUAAGAGUUUUUAUGUUGACUGAAAAGUGAGAAAAAACGUAGGAGACUAAAGUAACAAAGAGGGAUAGGGAAAGAGAAUUUUGUCUAAGAAUAUCUAAGGAAAUCAGAGGAAUGAUAAAAAAUUAUAGAGGAUUAAAGCAAGUCAUAGAAGGUCAGAGGAAAGUUUGUUAAA